rnacentral:rRNA from 1 species
UGACGGGCCGCACAAGCGGUGGAUUAUGUGGAUUAAUUCGAUGCAACGCGAAAACCUUACCUACCCUUGACAUGCUAGGAACUUGCCAGAGAUGGCUUGGUGCCCGAAAGGGAACCUAGACACAGGUGCUGCAUGGCUGUCGUCAGCUCGUGUCGUGAGAUGUUGGGUUAAGUCCCGCAACGAGCGCAACCCUUGUCAUUAAUUGCCAUCAUUCAGUUGGGCACUUUAAUGAGACUGCCGGUGACAAACCGGAGGAAGGUGGGGAUGACGUCAAGUCCUCAUGGCCCUUAUGGGUAGGGCUUCACACGUAAUACAAUGGUCGGUACAGAGGGUUGCCAACCCGCGAGGGGGAGCCAAUCCCAGAAAACCGAUCGUAGUCCGGAUUGUAGUCUGCAACUCGACUGCAUGAAGUCGGAAUCGCUAGUAAUCGCGGAUCAGCAUGUCGCGGUGAAUACGUUCCCGGGCCUU